rnacentral:rRNA from 1 species
GGACAGAUGGGAGCUUGCUCCCUGAUGUUAGCGGCGGACGGGUGAGUAACACGUGGGUAACCUGCCUGUAAGACUGGGAUAACUCCGGGAAACCGGGGCUAAUACCGGAUGCUUGUUUGAACCGCAUGGUUCAAACAUAAAAGGUGGCUUCGGCUACCACUUACAGAUGGACCCGCGGCGCAUUAGCUAGUUGGUGAGGUAAUGGCUCACCAAGGCAACGAUGCGUAGCCGACCUGAGAGGGUGAUCGGCCACACUGGGACUGAGACACGGCCCAGACUCCUACGGGAGGCAGCAGUAGGGAAUCUUCCGCAAUGGACGAAAGUCUGACGGAGCAACGCCGCGUGAGUGAUGAAGGUUUUCGGAUCGUAAAGCUCUGUUGUUAGGGAAGAACAAGUGCCGUUCAAAUAGGGCGGCACCUUGACGGUACCUAACCAGAAAGCCACGGCUAACUACGUGCCAGCAGCCGCGGUAAUACGUAGGUGGCAAGCGUUGUCCGGAAUUAUUGGGCGUAAAGGGCUCGCAGGCGGUUUCUUAAGUCUGAUGUGAAAGCCCCCGGCUCAACCGGGGAGGGUCAUUGGAAACUGGGGAACUUGAGUGCAGAAGAGGAGAGUGGAAUUCCACGUGUAGCGGUGAAAUGCGUAGAGAUGUGGAGGAACACCAGUGGCGAAGGCGACUCUCUGGUCUGUAACU